GUAGCUCAGUGGUAGAGCGGUCGGCUAUUAACUGACUGGUCGUAGGUUCGAAUCCAUGCAGUACUUCA